AUUGAACGCUGGCGGCAUGCUUUACACAUGCAAGUCGAACGGCAGCGCGGGCUUCGGCCUGGCGGCGAGUGGCGAACGGGUGAGUAAUGCAUCGGAACGUGCCCAGUAGUGGGGGAUAGCCCGGCGAAAGCCGGAUUAAUACCGCAUACGACCUGAGGGUGAAAGCGGGGGACCGAAAGGCCUCGCGCUUUUGGAGCGGCCGAUGUCGGAUUAGCUAGUUGGUGGGGUAAAGGCUUACCAAGGCGACGAUCCGUAGCUGGUCUGAGAGGACGACCAGCCACACUGGGACUGAGACACGGCCCAGACUCCUACGGGAGGCAGCAGUGGGGAAUUUUGGACAAUGGGGGCAACCCUGAUCCAGCCAUGCCGCGUGCGGGAAGAAGGCCUUCGGGUUGUAAACCGCUUUUGUUCGGGAAGAAAUCCUCUGGGCUAAUACCCCGGGGGGAUGACGGUACCGGAAGAAUAAGCACCGGCUAACUACGUG
rnacentral:rRNA from 1 species